ACUACCCAUGUGGCAUUUUAGAAGGUCAUUGUGAAGGAGUCACAUAAGCUUGUUAUUUUGCUUAGUCAAAGCACUCAAAUAUUAGAGUUAGUAACACAAGCAUCAAUAUCAACAUCCUUACACCUUGAGCAUGGUUCAUUGCCUAAGACAAUCUUGGAACAAGAUCCCUCGCUAGGGAGAGAGACACUAGCCUUUAAGGUUUCGAACUUUUCUUUAAGUGAGAGGUAAGCUUUAUCCAAGCUAUCCUCUCUCUUGAAGUUGUGAGUUCGUCACCUCACGAUUAGCAUGAGACUCUUUUGUUUGCUCAUAGAACCGUACCAAAGCUUCACUACUUUCUCUUUCCUUAGCAAGCUUACUCUUGAGUUCACGAGUCCGCUCUUUCUCACGAAUGAUCAAGACCUCUUACCUCUCAAGAGUUGUGUAUUGUUGUUCAGUUCUCUCAAGCAACUCACUCAAGUGUGGCAAUGAAUCCUUGAUUAUGUACUUGAGAAAGUCCUCAUCCAUAGCCUUAUCAACCUCCUCUUCCCCAUCGCUAACAAGAUCAAUAUUAAAUGACUUAAGCGAGGAAGGUACCUUAGACUCCUUUGCCAUGAGACAUAUAGAAGCAUCGUCAUCACUUGAAUAGUUGAAGAGCCUAGGUGUAGGAGGUGAUGUAGGCUUGACGGCGAAGGUGGUCGUUCCCUCUUCAUCACUUGAGCUUGACCCGAAGUCAUCGGUCUCGAAUAUCAUCCCGAUGUGAGCAUGGCCUUUUCGCUCGCGCUUGUGAUGCCUGUGUUUCUCCUUCUUAUCACCAUUCUCUUCUUCCUUGACAUUCGGGCAAUCAACUAUGAAAUGUCUGGGCUCAUGACACUCGUAGAAUUUCCUUGCGGAAUGCCUUCCGCUUGACUUGUCGAAUGACCUCUUAAAAGAGCUCCCUUUGAAGAAACCGCUUCUUCUCAUGAAUCUUCCAAAUUUCUUGACAAAGAGCGCUAUCUCUUCAUCUUCAUUGUCUUUCUUGCUCUUGCGACUCUCCUCUUCCUCCUCCUCCUCAUCUUCUUUUGCCUUCAAUGCCAAGUCUUCUUUCUUGAGGCUUGACGUAGACCUUGGUUGAUGUAUUAGAUGACAUCUUUCGAUUCUUGUUCAGGCAUGUCAUGGCCAAGAAUAUGCCUGAGCAAAUCAUGAGGCGUGAGUGUCUUGUAGUCCAGACGCUCACGUAUGAUUGUCGCUAAGGUAGAGUUCCUUGGUGUGAUGACUCGGAUCAUUUUCUUACCGCAACUUCAUCGGUCAUACCCUUAGAACUAAGACUCUUGGUCUUAUGGACGAUCUUGCUCAAUCGGCCAUACAUGUUGCUUGGGCUUUCACCAUCCAACAUGACAAGCCUCUCGAAUUGCCCCUUUGAGAUCUCCAACAUGGACUCGUGGACACUAUCCGUGCAUUCAUGAAUUUUCCAAAGUGUGUCCCAUUUCUCUUUGGCAUUCUCAAUAUCAUCUACUCGGUUGAACUCGCAUCCACUUAAGGCGCUAAGUAUGGAAUUAGUGGCUUGAGCAUUUUUGUGCUCGUUCUCAUCGUCUUCCUUGGUGGGAUCAUCGGGUUUCUGCAAAAUAUAACAUUUUCGACUAUUCUCCAAAUAGAUGGGUUAAUAGAUUUCAAGUGCAGCUUCUUCUUAUGCUUCCAAGCGACAUAGUUUGUACCAUUGAUGUACUGAGCCUUACCACUAUAGGUACUCACGUAAGUUGUAGAUGGAGUGGGAGGAUAAUCGAAAGGAAUUUUGGCUCCGCAUGAGUCAACAUCCUUCCCAUCCCCUGUUAGGCUCGACAUUAUCUCUCUAAGCGGUUGAGCCUAAUAAGGAGAUUAGGCUCCGAUACUAAUUGAAAGGGAAACUUAGGCCUAGAGGGGAGGUGAAUAGGCAAUUUAAGACAAAACACAUAAGCUAAUAAACUAAAACAUGUCCGAUUGUCUAACACUUUAUCGGACAAUCCGAUAUAAAUCAGAUUGUCUAAAAUGGGAUCAGACUACCAAUCUAUAGAGAAGCACAUAAACAAGGCAAGCUCCAGAUCUAGUACACAAGCUAGGAUAUGUGCACAAACGGUGACUAAGCUACAACGGCACAAUAUAGUAACAAAUAAAUGAAGAGGAAUAAUGAAUAUUACCAAGAUUUUGUGCUGACGUAUUUCCUGGAGUUCGAAUCCUUGAGGGGAUUCAACUCUCUAUUUAGAAGCUCGCGAAGAGCCGGGUCUUGUCCUGGCAGUAUUUCCAGUCAAAAAAAAGAGCCGGAUCUUUUCCAACCCUUUUCUCUUGAGGUUACACAAACGCACUCCUCUUUCCACUAGAGGUAUCUCUUUCCUUGCGAGGGCGAGAUCCGGCCUUCACAAAAUUCCCUUGGCUCACCACAAGUAGAUCGAUGGCUUAAGAGCGACGCCUAGUUGUCUAGGACUCCUCAACCUCCAAGAGUAACAAACACCAUAACCCUUGGGUAACCCGGGUCCUAGAUGCACUUUCACCAUACAAUAUCUAAGAUAUGAUAUGAGAGAGAUGGUAUUGAGGGCUUAUUGCCAAAAUCAAUCUUACCAAAUUUUGGUAACACUAAAGUUUUUGCAUGUUUUGGCAUACCAAUUUUUAAGUAGCGUUGGAUGUGUGCUAAUUAGUUUGAUGCUUUUCUAAAUUGGAUUGCUAAAAAACUGUUGAUGUUUUUUCCCCUAAAACUUUCAAAUUGUAGACCAUCAGAUCGCAUUGAGAUUUAUGCACGAGAGGGAUUUUUGGUAGCGUUGGAUGCAGGGUUUGCAAUUUCGGUUGCCACCGAAAUUUUAGAAAUUUCGGUGGUUGCCAAAAUUUUGAAAACUUCAUGAUUUCCGGAUUUUUCGGACCAAAAUUAUUUGAAUUUUAACAUAUUUUGACUGAAGUUGAUCAAAUUUUGAUGAAAUUUACAUAUAUUUGACAAAAAAAAUCGGGGAUAUUUGUGUUUGCUAGUGAGGCCGAAAUUAUCAAAAUUUCGGAAAUUUCAAACCCUGGUUAGAUGUGUGUUAAUUUAUUUGAUGCUUUUUGAAAUUGGAUUUGCUAAAAAAAAAACUGUUGACUGUUUUUUUCCCUAAAACUUUCAAAUUAUAGACCACUAGCUCGCAUUGAGAUUUAUGCAAAAGAGGUGGAAAAAUUUCAAAUUGUGACCUCUUGCGCACAAGUAUGCUGUACUAGCCAACUAUCCCAAUGAAAUUUUAGUUGAUUAUGUAGUAUGUACAUAUAAGUUACAAUAUGGUUACCUUUAAAAGUCUUUUUAAAAAAUGUCAAUGUUAUAUAUCAGGGGCGGGCCUAGGAUUUUGAGAUUGGGUAUUCGAAAUGGAAAGGGGAUAAAAAAAUGUUUUAUAACACGAGCAUAAUAUUUGGUACGUAUGAUCAACAAUAUGGUAUUUUAGUACUGCUUAUUGAAUUAGAACUUGCGACAAGGUUUUUAGCAAUUUCCUUGAUCUAUUGUGAUAUACUUUGUGAAAAAACAUAUGCAGUAUAAUCUACCAACCAAGUAUAUAUCGAUUAAUAUCAUGCCAUCACAGCAUGGUUAAUGCACAAAUUAGGCAACCAUGUAAAUUGGGUUCGAAUUUGAGGGAGCUAGCCUGCUAGCCUUUCUUGUUGGGCUUCUUUUAAUCAAUAACGUUUAUUUUCUUUAUUUCUCUGCAUACAUACGAAAUAUAUACCUCAUAUAUAUAUUUUUUGUCUAAAAAUCUUGGGUAUUCAUUUGAAUACCCUUAAAUUGAGCUGGGCCCACCCCUGUUAUAUAUAGCUACACCCUUUUAAAUUUUGAUAGUGUUUUCAUGAGAGAACUUUCGAAACUAUAAAUUUUGAUAUGAUAUCAUUUUUCAUGGUUUUGGGUUGGUUGAAACUGACGAUAUAUAGAGCGCGCGGAGCCUCAAAAUUAAUUGUAACAAGAUAGUUUAGUUCGGUGUAGUUUUAAAAUCUAUCGGCAGAAUGUCAUGGUGGUCAUGUACGCCGUGUCUUGUCAGCCAGAUUGAAACGAACAAAUUAAGAUAGCUACCCACGCUGCAUGUGCAUCUGGAGUAUAUCCAAACGAGAUCGACCAAAGAUAAACCAAGAUCUCGUUCGUUCCCAGAUGCUUAUGCCAGUAAACCCUUGUCCAUUACUUAAUGACAGUACUCAAAAUCGCAAGUACUACAUGCCAAAAUCCUACUACUGAUCGAAAGUGCCUACCUUAAACCAUUGAACUUGGCGACAAUACACAGUGGGGAGGCUAUGUUAUGGUUAACUACUCUCUCCAUUCUAAAAUAUAAAGAUUUUUUAGAGUUAGACACGGGUAUUAAAAAAAUAGUUAAAAUUAAAUGAGAGAACGUUGUGAUUGGUUGAGAAGUGAAGAUAUGUGAGAAAAUUGAAUAAUGGAGGAUUGUGAUCGGUUGAUAAAAGAAUGUUGGUGAAUAAGUUGUUAUAUUUUGGAAUAAACUUAGACGAUUAGCUAAAAGUUGUUAUAUUUUGAGACGGAUGGAGUAUAUUAUAUUGUCUAUGGUAUAAAUGUCGAACAAUUAUCUCAUAAUUAUCAUGCUGCGAUAACCAUCUCAGUUUUUAAAAUCUCGUAAUGUUUCUCAUUAACCUCAUGAUUUUCAUUGUAAUCGCGAUAGCAUCGAUUAGCAGUAACCCCUGGAAAACAAAAUCCCUAUUAAAGACACAUUACAACGCUAGAUCCUCAUCAAAGAUACAUACACACCCGUUCUAACAUAAGUUAAUUUUUCUACGCGAGCAUUUGUAUAUAAAAAUAAGUGUUGAUCUAUUUUAUAACGGAGAGAGUAUAAAUACUUGGCCUCGUUAUUUUGUUCAUUAAACUAUUAGUGGUAUAAUUUUGAAGAAUUUUUUUUAUAUAAAAGUUUCUUCAAUAAAUCAAAUAAACAGUUUGUGCUUGUAUCGUGUUUAAUAAAACACUCAAUUAUUUAUGUGCUAAUGACUUAUCUUAUUAUAUAUACCACUAAAAAGCUUAACCAAUAGCUGAAGAUGUGACAAACAUGCUUUACUAUUGACUGAUUAAACAAUAAGUAGGCUCCAUCGAUCAGCUAGUUGGCUAACGGUGGAUGGCGAAAACAGGCAUGGACAGCUAGAGCUUGAGCUGUAUGCCUAGCUUCACAAUCCACAUUAUUAUUAUCUUGAAAAGUGCUAUAUAAUUUAUGAAAAUAUUUAGGCUUUUAUUAAUCCACCCUUCCUAGUGAAGAUUUCCUGCUCCACCACUGCUGACGGUGAAGUAAACAAAGAGUAAACACCAUGGUUUCCAGACGCAUCUAGAAGGCCUAUAUACGCAGCAGCAGCAGCAGCAGCUAGCAGAAGGAAACAAGAAGAAUCUGAUGGGGCCGUGUAGCGUAGCUAGGAAACAAGAAAACUCUGAUGGAGUACGUAGAAGUAUUAAACGUAAAUUAGUGAUAAAAAUCUAUUUCAUAACCUCUAUGCUAAUUUGUGAGACGAAUCUAAUAAACCUAAUUAAUCUAUGAUUCGCUACAGUAAUAUUAUAGUAAUUAUUCACUAAUUAUAGAUUAAUAUGCCUCAUUAUAUUCAUCUUGCGAAUUAGCACAGGGUUCUGUAAAUAGUUUUGUAAAUAGAUUUUAUUAAAUACUUCUAAAUAAAUUCCGGGAUCCUUCUAACGGAUCCGGAUCGCCGAAUUUCCUUCCGAAGUUCCGAUCCAAACAUGACCUAGGUACAGCUCGGUCGUCGAUCUAAGCAUGGGCCUAGUGUGCAGAGUGUCAGUGUCAGCAGAUGUCGCCGCCACCACCGACGCUACCUGCACGCCCUGCCGCCGCCAUGUGACCACCGUACAUACAAGCACGGACCGAGCGAGCUUUGCCGACUACUCCCUGCUCCCUUCAUAAAAAAAAUAAAUCUAAAACUGGACAUUAAAAAAAAUAAAUCUAGAACUGAAUAUGAUACAUUAUAGUACAACGAAUAUAAGUAGAUGUAUAUUUAAAUUCAUUGUAUCGUGAUGUGUAACAUCCAGUAUUAGGUAGAUUUUUUAUGGGACAGAGUAAGUAAAUAUUUCAGCUAGACAGCCAGACAGAGACAGGCAGGAAGGAAGAUCGACGAAGGCGGUGUUUAGUUCAUGUGCUAAAUCUUUUUUAAAGUAUACGGACACAUAUUUGAAGUAUUAAACAUAGACUAAUAACAAAAUAAAUCGUAGAUUCCGCAUGUAAACUGCGAGAUGAUUUUAUUAAGCCUAAUUAAUCUAUCAUUAGCAAAUGUUUAGUGUAGCAUCACAUUGUCAAAUCAUGGCAUAAUUAGGCUCAAAAGAUUCCUCUCGCAAUUUAUAUGCAAACUGUGCAAUUAGUUUUUUUUUCCACAUUUAAUGUUUUAUGCAUGUGUUCAAAUAUUUAAUGUGACGGAAAAGUUGAAAGUUUGGAAAAAAAAUUGAAUCUAAACACGGCCGAAGACGAGAGGUGAUAUGAGAGGUCGCUGACACCGGCGACGCCGACGGCCGCCCUGACGCCCAUGGCCGGCGCUCAAGAAGGUAUACAGCGACUUCUCUUCUUGAAGACGUCGUUUUGGCAUCCCCUAUGGGGCAAUCUCGGUUGUCCCUUUGUUGGUCUAGUGGCGGCCGAUCACGCUUAGCGGCGGCCAGUCCGGUGCUAGCCUUCUCUUGGGCUUGUGUGUUGACGAUGUCGGUGUGUGGGUGGUGGUAUUUUUUCCUUUUUCCUGUUUACGACCCUCCAGGGUUAUAAUCUUAUAAUUUUUUCAUGCUAUCAAUAGAACUUCGCACCGUCUCGUUAAAAAAAAAGGUAUAAAGCGACGAAGUACUAUAUGUACUGAAUUACUGAGAACUCUGGCAGCUGUGGCCGGUGGAAGCUUAAUUACCAUGAGUUCAUCGGCGGUCAGCCCAUUUAAAACACAAAUCCCCUACUCUCUCCGCCUAAUUUUAAAUGCAGCUGUUGGUUUCUAUGUCCAACAUUUAACCGUUUAUCUUAUUUGAAAUAUUUAUGAAAUUUUCACGUAUAAAGUAUUAUUCAUGUUUUAUCAUCUAAUAAUAAAAAAAUACUAACAAUAAUUUCUCUUAAAUAAGACGAACAGUCAAACGUUGGCACAUAAAUUAGGGGUGAAAACGGUUGGAAAAACCCUCUACCAUUUUUCAUUUUAAUUUUUUUCUUGAAAAUGAAAUCGGAACGGUAGACCCAAAAGGGUAAGGGUUAAUUUAAUCCAUGCCAUUGCAAAUGUGGCUACUCAGAAAAAUAUCAUUACAAUUCGUCUAUUCGUAACCGUAUCACUCUAAUUUUAUGAAAUUAGAACCAUGCCACUGUCGUCACCUUUUCCAUCCAUCCUCUUCCUUUCCGUCUUCUUCCUUCCUUCUCCAUCUUCUUUCCACAGAGUCGGCGUGCUGGCCAGCCUGUCCGUCGCCGCUCUCUGGCGAUAGCGUCGCCUCCCGGAGCCAAGUCGGUGAGCUCGGAGGAGAGGGAGCCAAGCCGGCAUCGCCAUCCCCUCCCUCCGCGCUUUCGCCCACUCCUUUCUCUGAGCGCCGGAGCUAGCACCGUCGGCCCAUCUCUCCGCGCCCCGGCUCCUUCUCCGUGCCGAGACGGCGCCAACGCCACGCACCCCAGCUCCUUCCAUGCGCCGGAGCCCGCGCCGUCCCUCCCUCCACCGUCGUUCGCGCCGCCGCAGCUAAAGCCACCGCGUCGUCUCCUCCCUCCUCGCAUCGGCACCAACGCCACGCGCAGGCCGGCGGUGCCACCGCCGUCCCCUCUCUCCGCGCGCAGACCGACACCGCCCCAUCCCUUCACGCGCCGGCACCGUCACCGCAGUCCUCUCCCUCCCUCCACUCGCCUGCGCCGCCGCCCCCUCCUUCCUCUGAGUGCCGGAGCCUGCGCCGCUGCCCCCAUCCCUCCGCGACACCGACGACAUGCGAUGGCCGUUUCCAAGAUGUGAGAAUGGCGACCACAACCGGAAACCGGAAGGGGUAGAGGAGGAUUUGUGACAAUGAGAGGUUUCACCUUUGACCGGUCGGAGCAGUGGCGGUGCGGCGGCAGCAGCGGUGUGGAGGAGUUCGGGAGAAGAGAACGAAGGAAGAUGACGAAAAGGAAGAGGAUGGAUGGAAAAGAUGACGACAGUGACAUGGUUCUAAUUUUGAAAAAUUGAAGUGGCACUGUUACGAAUAAACGAAUUAUAAUGAUAUUUUUCUGAAUAGUCACAUUUGUAAUGGCAUGGAUCAAAUUAACUCAAAGGGUAACGUAUCGGUAAUAUCGGUAUAUUGGAAACAUGACCAUUGGAACGGAAUCUACCAAUAUUGGUCAAAAGUUGAAAAUUCAUAUUGGAAACAUCAAAGUAUGGCAUAGUCACACAUUUAACUAUGCAUGAAGAUGACUUUAUAACUUUAUUUUUGUAUCAUCACACUCAAGAUAACACCGUUAUAUGAUGAUUAUCGAUAUGAUAAUAAGUUCGACGAACAAUUCAAACAAACUUCAGCAAUACGUCAAUAUCGAUAAGUCGAGGAGAUCAAAAUUCAGCAAAAGUCACCUGACACACCCUAGGGUUAAAAGCAUUUUUCCCUGACCACUUCCCCUUCCUAAUGGCCUGCAGGCCUACCAUGCUUCUUUCAUUCAUGGACUUCCGAUGGGUAGGGCUAGCUGGGCCACUGAAGAACUUUUGGAAUUUUGAUGGAAAUUACCGGACAAAUUUGGUUACCGACAAAACGAUCGGAAAAACCUUCAUCCCAUUUCCACUACCGUUUCUGGAAGAUAUUACCGUUUCUAUUUCUGACACCGACUGAAACGGUCGAUGCAAACCAGAAACAGCAUCCGAAUAUCUCAGAAAUUUCCGUAUAAUUUUCACCACUAACAAAAACUCACAACUACACUUAAAAUAUGAUAGAAGGAGUACAGUACUGCAAAUACAGUAGGCGUUUAGCGUUUACUAUGUACUGUACUGUACAUCAGUCGCUAUAGCAUGUCAGUGACAUAUACUGUACAUGUAUCACGGCAGGGAAUCCUAAUUUAAGAUACUCCACGGAUUAUGAGUAAAAUAUUAUCACGAUCUCACCGAUUAUCUACACUUAUUAGGUUUUCCCUAAUAAAUAAAUCGACUCUCUUUACUCUCAUGGGUCAUAGAUAGAAACAUGCUGAAGGCCAAAAUUAGGUUUAAUUGGACUACUAAAUCUCAAUGGAUCUAUUGGGCUAAAAUUCGGUUUGUUCAGUCUAUGCGAUUAACCGAAGAUACUGACUGAAUUGACGAAAUGAAAUUCGGUGUUUCAACACCUUAGACCCAACGAGUGGCUGAAUUUCUCGGUCUAGGUCCCAAGAAAUGCCCAUCGGUCCCUAGUAAAAAGGAUGAGAUACCUGAAAUCUAGACACUCCUAAAGUAACUGAAAAGAAAGAAUAUAAUUAGGAGUUUUUUCUUUUCAAUUUGUCUUGUCUUCUCAAACAGUAAAAUAUAGAAUUGAAAAGUUUUCUUAAAAAUUAUCAGUUCAAUUGGUUACCUGACAAAUUGAAAAGAAAACUAUAAGUAACAAAUGCAUUCCAAAUAGAUCCGAUGUUUUAGAAUGAAAUCUUUGAAAUUUAAUAUGUUCCUGGCCGAUAGGAUUGUUUUAUCCACAAAUUCAAAAGAAAACUAAUUAACCAAAUUUUUUUAACUUUAAUCCAGGUUUAUUGAAAUUUCAAGUUUUUGUAUCCGAAAUUUCACUCUACCUGUACCACCGAAAUAUAUUUUUUUUAUUUCUACUACAUACAACCCUGAAUACAACCUGCAGCUUGCCAUUUGCCUUUUUGGUAGCUGAUUGUAUACAAUAUUUUUCUCUUUUCUUUUUAUUUUUGAAAUUGAUGACAUUGGCCAUUUGACAAGAGGUCAGUUUCAUUUAAUUUCACAAAGAACAGAAGAGUACUCCAAAAGCACCACCAACACUCCAAUCAGAAGACACCAUAAAACCUACGGAGACUCCAACACCAAAACCAUGUGCUACUACAAACCAUAUUCCUACAAAAACACCUAGGGAUGUACGCUGUAAACACUGUAGAAUCCACCCUCUUGUACGGACGAUAAUAUUAAUUAUAUUCAAAUAAAAUAUAUGUUUAUAGGGGAAAACCUAGAUCAACAUAGGACCAAUGUUGACCACCUCAGUUGCAUCUUGUCCUAGGUAAUGCCUUUACCAGUUAAUGGCUCUGUUAAAGGUUGAUGACAGCGCUGCAUCAUGAGGUGAAAUUUUAGUUCCAUAUUUUUUCCCCUGUAAGAAAUCUUUACCGAUGUGUGGAAGCUUACUAUAAAUACUACUUUAUCAAAUAAUUUGAAAGCAAAAUCUUGUGAAAAAAUAUUUUGACAACAAUGUCUAGAUGAAAAUUGCCUAUAAAUUGAAACUGGGGAACAAACUAAAACUACAUACAUCACCAUUUUUACAAGCAAGAAAAUAUCGACGAAUUUAUAGCUAAUUUGCACUCAAGUAAGACAAACCGUCAACUUACCGAUGACGAACUUGUUAUUGAAUAAUGGAUUAACUAACUAAUAACUAACGUUUCAGUCGGUUGAUUUACGUCAGAUAAACCGUAGAAAAAUAAACAAAUAAAAAAUAACAAUUUUAGGCAAAACUUUUCCAUCUUUAUUUUUAGCGGUUUAAAGGUUAAGAUUGUAAUUACACUACAAUGGAAAGAAAAUCUUAAAAUCAACUUUUAAAUUAAAUUUUAAAAUUCAAAGUUUUGCUGUGACUGAUGAGUCAACAAGCAAACUACUAAGGGUAAUAUUACAUGAUAACUUUGAAAUUACAUAUGACAAAUCCAGAAUUUUGAUGGAGUGGUUGGGGGCGGGUACGUUACGACAUUAAAAUUUCAAUGCUAUUUACACCUUAAUUAAACCUGAUGUUCACCACACAAAAGUUACAAAAGGUAACCUUUUUCUUUACAACUCCUGCAAUAAGAAUUGAAAAUUCUCUACUCUUUACACGUGUCCAUCAUCCCACUAGCUAUACUUGUGCCAACAACACCAAUCCUUAACACUUGUCAAGAAAGGACACUUGCUCCAAAAAGAGGAAAAAAGGUUAACCUCAACUACCCAAAAAAGGAGUGAAAAAAUAUAUAUUCACCUCAUCACCAUACAAAAACCAAAGGUAAAAUGAAGCAAUUACACAAAAAAAGAAUACCAAACCUCUAAAUAAAGCAACCAAUCACCACCGCCCAACGCGCACACGCCCACGCGCUCCCCUCGCACGCCACCGGACGAACACCUCGCCGACAACCUUUGCUCCGGCGACCGGAGGUCGGAGAGAGAGAAGAGAGAUGAAGAUGCCGGGGCGCCUGCUCGCCGCCGGAGCGGCGGCGCUGCUGGUGGCGGCGUCGGUGAUGGUGGCGACGCUGCUGACGGCGCCGCUGCCGUUCCUGCCGUCGCUGAUGCCGUGCCUGCCCGCGGUGACCGCGCCGUCGGGGUCCGGGUACUCGCCGCCGGGCCUCGCGGCCCUCGCCGACGCCGCCGUGAGGUACGCCACGACGCCGACCGUGCCGCAGCAGUCGCGCGCCGAGAUCUCGCUGUCGCUGGCCGUGCUCCGCCGCCGCGCGCCGCUGCGGCUGCUGGUGUUCGGCCUGGGCCACGACUCGCCGCUGUGGCACGCGCUCAACCCGGGCGGCGCCACCGUGUUCCUCGAGGAGGACCCGUCCUGGUACAGCGUCGUGCGGGGCCAGUCGCCGUUCCUCCGCGGCCACCUCGUCGCCUACCGCACGCGCCUCGACCACGCCGACCGCCUCCUCGCCACCUACAAGGACCACCCCUCCUGCCUCCCCGGCGGCGGCGGCAAUGGCGGCGGCGACGUGCCGCGCGUGCGGGGGAACGCGGAGUGCCCGCUGGCGCUGCACAACCUGCCGGCGGAGGUGUACGAGAAGGAGUGGGACAUGGUGAUGAUCGACGCGCCCAAGGGGUACUUCGCGUCGGCGCCGGGGAGGAUGGCGGCGGUGUGGACGGCGGCGGCCAUGGCGCGCGGGCGGCGCGGCGAGGGCGACACCGACGUGUUCCUCCACGACGUCGACCGCCGCGUGGAGAAGGCCUACGCCGAGGAGUUCCUCUGCGAGAGGUUCCGCGUCGGCGCCACCGGCCGCCUCUGGCAUUUCAGGAUCCCGCCGGCGUCGCGCCGCGGGAACGGCACGGCGGCCGCCGGCGGCGCCGGCGCCGGCGAUGGGCGGCGACCCUUCUGCUAAGGAAGUAAGGAUUGCGAUUUUUGGAGGGGCUUUUUUACAAAAUGGCCUCGAUUAAGCGGGUGAAAUACAAAUACUGCUACUACUACUACGAAAAUACGAUCGUCGUGUAGGAAAUUUCCGGAUUCCUCUAUCCUCUGCCACUUGCAAAUUCAAAACUUGGGAUAUUUUAAAUUUGAGGUAAACAUUCUGAACAGAGAUAGAUGCUAGAGAGUGAUUUGAGUCUCUCGAGAUCACUAAAGUUGGUGUGAACAACAACACGGUGUGUAUCUCUUUUCAGUUUGUAAUAAUAGAAACAAUGAGGUGAUUUUGUUUUUUUUUUUUGGUAUGAGUACAUACUAAUUUUUGAAUAACAUUGGUACAUCAGGUUAACCUUGAACUGAAAUGACCAUUUGUGGUUGUCUGUUUAUACAUUAUCUUACAGCUCUCCCUCCAGCCGGUCACAAAAGAAUUCCACUUUUAAGAUACGUGCAAAUUGCAAUUGAAUCAUAAGUAUUACUUAAAUUGUAGGUUUUGAGAAUAUGAAAAUAACAUAGCCAUGUUUAUUGUGACAAAAGCUUUAAUAUUAUUACACACAUACAACCAUGAAACAAGCUAUAAUCAUGAAAAAGGAAACGAAAGCAAACGACCACAAAAAAGAAAAUUUAGUUUAUAUAUGUUAUUACUCCCAUCCACAAAAAAUAAAAAGGAAAAUUCUUCAUUGCAACAAACGAGAAGAGCUGGAAAUUUUUGCAGUAGACAUCGUCCGUGUGUCUAUGGGAUUGGAUCAUGAUUGGGAUCCUUUGACGUGAAGUCAGAGGGACGUGGUGACUGACAUGUGGGCCUCACCACUCGCGGGCCCACCUAUCAGUGACCACGUCACGGGGCAGUUCACGUCAAAGGAAUCGCUUCCGUGUCCAUGGCCCUCAAUGGGGAAUAAGUCUGUUUAACACCCUCAACUUUUGCCCCUAAUUAAAUCAUCUCCCUUAACCGCAAUACCGGAUAUAACGUCUCCUCCAUCUUCAAAAACCAAAGCAAAUCGAGUUUCUUCGGCCGUUUGGAUAGUGAUUCCAUCCUACGUGAUACUUAUGGGACCCACAUGUUAGUGAGAUAAAAAAAGCCCACAUGUCAUUUCUUUCUUUUUCCUCGCUAUCUCUUUCAUGUUCUCUCUCUUGUCAGGCGGCGGUACCGGCGAGCAGGAGCCCAUGGCUGGAGAGCUCCUCCCUUCACGUGUCAUGGCCAGUGACUCCUCCCCUGUGUGCAGCCGGUCGCAGCGGAACCAAUAGAACUCCUCCCCAGCUAUUGAUCCUUCCUUCAGAAUCACCACCCAAGCUCCACGGCAGCAUUGAAAAAUUCAUCUUCAGAAAUUGCUACUCCUACAUAGGGGUGAAAACGGUACGGAAACGGAUGGAAAUCAUCUUUAUUGUUUUCGUUUUCAUAUUUUUUUCGGAAUCGAAAUUGGAAACGGAAACCCCGGAUACGAAAACGGAAUCGAAUAUUAUCGAAACCGAAAAUUGAGCGAAAACGAACUGGCGCGAAUACGGUAACGAAAAUUUAUCGGAAUAAAAAAACCCCUUAAACUAAUAAACUCAAUUCUCAAGUCUCAAUGGUCAACAAUUCAUUAUAAAACACAAUCAUAUAAUUCCAAUUGUUAAGUAUCAACAGUACAUCAUAAAACACAAUCUAUGGAAUAAAUUAGUAAUGCUGUUGAUAAAUCCCAAUGCAGGAAAAAAAAUAUUCUUAUGUAAUUUUAGAUUUACUUAACAAAUAUUUUUUAAAAAAAUAACAGCCAAACACCAUGAUAUUAACUAUUCAGUGCUUAAAAAAAGAAACCAAGGUAUUUUGUGAUUUCUGGAAAUUCCGAGAAAAAUUCUGGAAAUUCUGAGAAAAUUUCUGGAAAGUUUCCGACCGAUUCCGAGUUCUGACGGAAACUGCCAUUAUCAUUUUCGAUUCCGUUUUCGAGAAAAUAUUUCCGAAUCCGUUUCCGUUUCCGAAAAAUUCCGACCGACAGAUUCCGUUUCCGAAAAUAGGUCUGGAAUCCGGAAAGUUUCCGUACCGUUUUCACCCCUACUCCUACUGCCAGAGAUCUUUAGAUUUGGAGAUGUGCAUCAUGUACUUCGCAAUCUACAUCCAGCAACGCAACAGGCAGUGUCACCAAUAACCAGUUCAGCCACUGGUUGAUCCAAUGUGGAUGGAGUUACAGAGAAGGGAAAUUGAAUCAACCUUUUGUAGGCGGAGGCGGAGGUAGGAGCGGGGGAGGAAGAGCGUGCGGUUGAGAUCCAUCUGGUAGAGUGACGCCACCAGAUCAUCGAUGCCGUUCUCGGCAAAGUCAUCCAGCGUCUCCUCCUGAUCUAAUCACAUCACAGACUAUGAGAAUUCUGGAAUAAUUUGAUCCAAUAAGAAUUGGGCACGAAGGAGAAGUGGAUCAAGAAGCGAGGGGAGGAGAGGGGACUGACAAGGAGCUAGCAACCACAUCUUCUACUUAUGCUUAUGCUUAUGUUUAUAGGCCAAAUUUGAUUUUUCAACCUUAAAUUUAGAGUUGAUUUUGGGGUUUUUUUAUCAUGGUUUAGUUUUUAGCAAAUAAAAUUUUUAUUCGCAAAUUAUUUUUCAUUUGCAAAUAUGUUGUUUGGCUUAUUUCCUUGAAUAAGCCAAACGAUGGAGCCGUAGAUUUGCUCGUGGACAACGCAGGAGGCGAGGGGGGAGUCGAAGCAGAGGAUAUAUAUCCGGGGACACAUUCUUGUUGCGUCACGCUCGCUUCACGUGGGCGGUGGGAGAUGAGGGGGGGGGGAGGGUAGGAGGGGGGAGCAGAGGAUCUCCGACCACGGAAAAAGAAAGGCUUGACAUAUGGGUUUGGUUUUUUAUUUUAUUUUUUUCUUACUAACAUGUGUGUUCCAUGAAUGCCACAUAGAACUAAAUCGCUAUCCAAACAGUCGAGGGAUUCGAUUUGCUCCGGUCUUCGAUGAUGGAUGAGACGUUAUAUCCGGCAUUGCGGUUAAGAGAGACGAUUCAAUCAACGAUAAGAGCAGAGGGAGGUAAAUAGACUUAUUCCCCUCAAUGGAUACGACAGCUGAUUUUUUCGCUUUCGCGGCUGUUAUAAUAUUUCUCCACACGUUCAUAUUUCAGUUUCAUUUUGUGGAUGUUUAAUUACAACGGAUGAAAAGAAAAACAUUGAAACCUAUGUUCUGGCAAACCUUUGUUGGUUUCUUUUUUUUUUCUGUAAAAACAAAAUCUGAAAACAGAGAUUUCUCCCCUGCGGUUCUAAAAAGAGGAUCAAAUUGUUUGCUACGAUAUUCUGGCUUAAAAUUCUUGUCAAGAUUCCUCCGAAAUACAGUACCCCUAUAAUCACCAGAGUCUGGUCCUGCCAGAUUAAUGUGAAAGAAUCCUAUAAUACCAACUUUUACAAGUUCACCUACACCACACUAAUGAUCCAUGUGAUGUGGCGACUACUCAAUACCUUGAGAAAAUACUACAUUGCAGAUGCUGCAUUCAUGAUCCAUGUGAAUAUGCUGACAUUGAAUUAUACACAAGCAAUUUAGGACGGCACCUGGUCAAGCAAUGUCAGAUAGUACCAGUACUCAGGUUUCAAAGUACCGAGGACCCCUUUGAAUUGCAUGAAAGAAAAAAAAAGAGAAACAGAAAAAAAAAACAUGAUUCUCAUAGAAAUACAAGUCCAAAAUAGAGUAUUGCAAAACGCAAAAAAAAAAGAAUACUGUAAAAAAAAGAGCAGAAAUCAGAUGAGCAAAAUAGACUAAUUUUUUUUCCAAGAGACUGAAGCUCUUACUAAGUUUUUUUUAAAAUCUCUAUAAGAUUGUUUAUUCCAUAGGAAUUUCAAAGAUAGUGUAUGAUUCAAUCUUUUAUUUUAAAAGCCUUCAAAGAAAAUUUUUUCUAUAGAAUCAAUCUAAAAUUCCUAUUUUUUUUCUUACAAAUUGAAGGGACUAUGAAACUUGUAUUCCCUCCAACACAAAAUAAACAAGCUUGUACACCUGUAUUCACAUUCAUAGCAACAGGUGUCAGAAAGCAGUCAUAAUUAUAUACUCCCUCCUGACAUAGAACAUUACGCUUCAGAUAGCAAAACUGAUGCACUUAGUAACAAUUUUUUUUUUCUGAAACGUAGUGAUCAGAGGGAGUAUAUUUUUAUGCAAUAGCUCACAGAGUAAUAAGUGAACAAGGUAAAGAUGAAUAAUCGAUCCAUCCCAUAUAAAUAAAGCUAUUUCUACCCCAUUAAGCUUUAUUUUAAAAAUAAAGCUAUUUCUUUACCGACAGCCCUCGUCUCAACCAAUAACAAUUAUUCCCCAUUUAAUUUCUUCGUAUACUUUCUCUUCUCAAUUAAUCACAACAUUUUCUCAAUCAUUUUCAUAUGCUCUCUUAGUUCCCGUAAAAACCUUUAGAAAUACUUGUAUUUUGGGACGGAGGAAGUAUGUAAUAAAAAGCAUUAGCACGGUCCGUGACACAUAAUUAUGCUGAUAAUGUCACAUUCAUAUGUUCUCAGUGGACGACUAUCUCCCAAACAUCAACAAGAAGGCUUAAAUCUCUCCCCGUCCCUUUUCUUUGACAAUCAGAAGAAAUGAGAGAACAUGUUACAAUCAAUCUACCGUUCUUUACCCGCCAAGGUCUUCUCCUGCACAGAUCAUGGAGCAAUAAUAAGGACGUUGUUACCGUUCUUGACCUGCCAAGGUCUUCUCCUGAACAUAUCACGGAGCAACAAUAAGGACGUGAGCCUACCUGAUAGUAGUUGUAGAAUUGCAGCAUGCCCUCUUCACAGCAACGUGCCUUUCUCCAGGAAAUCGAGUAUGUAUGAAUCUUGCUGCACUAGCAUGUAUAGUGAUGAAAAGAAUUGUUGGUCUCUGCAUCGUUCUCUAUUCUCGGCAACAUCAUCCAUAAAUUCAUAUUCAUUCCCGGGGCUGGUGUACCUAGUGUCAAAAGAAAAUAAAUUAUUUAGACUAAGAAUCUCAAACCUCUAGGCAUAGCUUUUCGGAAACAGUAAAAAUAAAGAGGAAGAUUUCAUACAAGUAAUAUGCUGGAACUCACUUGGAAAUAAAGAACUCUGAAACCAAUGAAAAUAAUGAAUGGGUACAAAAAUAGAUUCAGAAAAUGUUUAAUUUCUACAAACAGAAGCCGUGAAAAUAAUGAAUGGGUACAAAAAUAGAUUCAGAAAAUGUUUAUAUUUCUACAAACAGAAGCCGUGUCCUGCUAGUUUAAUGUGAAAGGCUCCAAUAAUCCCAACUACUACAAGUUCAUCUGCAUCACAAUGAUCCAAGUGCCGACUACUGAAUACUCCCUACUUUUCUGAAAACAUUGUGGAUGCACUUCAUUACGAUCCAUGUGAAUACACUGAUACUGCAUUUAAAUACGGAGUAAUAACCAAUUUGGGACGGCACCUGGUCAAUCAAUGUCAGACAGUACCUCUAGAGGUUUCAAAGUACUGAAACCUGCACAUCUGUACUCACAGUAACAGGGUGUCAAGAAUUUGGUCACAAUAACAGGUAAAUUAUCGCAAGAGCUAACAAGGUAAGGUUGAACAAUCAAAGGCAUCAGCACAUCUGUGAGCUGGCAACUAUGUACUUCAAACAUCCAUAUCCUUAUCAUCACAACUCACAAGAUAGCUUACAUUCCGUCGUUGUUCAUGUUGCACAGUCGGCAGAAAUGACAAAACAUGUUACAAUCACUCAUUCACUCUACCAAGGUCUUCUGUUCAUAUCACAGUGCAAUAAAAAAGAACAGAGACUUCCUCGUUCUUUGUAUAAUUGCAGUUCAUCCUCUUCACAGCAACGUGGGGAUUGUUUCAGGCAACCAGGAAAGCAAGCUAGGCUUUCUUCAGGAAAUCAAGUAUGUGAUCCAUAUUGUGCAAAUUGCAAUUCUGCAUGUAAUUUUGUCUUAAGUAGAAUUUCUUUAACUUUGAAGCACGUAUACCCCAUGCCUUCCGAUCUUCAUUCAUGUAGCGAGAUUCGGACUGAUGUUAAUUGCUGCAUAUGAAUACAGCAUGCUGCAUUCACUUCAAACUAACAUUUUCUCCAUGCUUCCCAGUGUCAACUAUGUUUGCCUCUCUUCUGUUGAUUCUGCUGCAUGUGCUCCAAUCAGUGUCGACAUCGACAAUGGAAUAUCAUAACACAACUGAUGAGAACAUCUUGCUAGCAUUCAAGGCAGGCCUAAGCAACCAGAGUGAUGUCCUAUCUUCAUGGAAAAAAAGCACAGAUUUCUGUCAGUGGCCAGGUGUGCUUUGCAGCCUUAAGCAUAAACACAGGGUCACAGUGCUUAACCUCUCCUCAGAGAGCCUUGCUGGCACAAUCUCCCCUUCCAUUGGGAACCUCACAUUCUUGAAAAUUUUAGACCUCAGUGGGAACAAUUUGGAUGGUGAAAUACCUUCAUCAAUUGGCCGUCUAGCUCGAUUACAAUUUCUUGAUUUGUCCAACAACUCACUCCAUGGCGACAUAACCUCUGACUUGAAAAACUGCACCAGUCUUCAGGGCAUCAGUCUUAAAUCAAACUACCUCACCGGAGAAAUCCCUGCUUGGCUUGGAGCCCUACCAAGUCUCAAGCUCAUAUACCUGCAGAAGAACAGCUUCACUGGAUCCAUCCCGACCUCCCUUGCGAACCUCUCGUCGCUGCAAGAAAUCUAUCUCACCAUGAAUCAACUUGAGGGCACCAUCCCUGAGGGUUUUGGUAGGCUCAGUGGUCUCAAGAACAUUCAUCUGGGUGUAAACCACCUCUCAGGCAUGAUCCCAACAAGCAUCUUUAAUAUUUCCUCGCUAAGUUGCUUCGGUGUACCCAUGAACCAGUUGCAUGGUUUGCUCCCCUCUGACUUGGGGAUUCACCUACCAAAGCUCCAGUACCUCCUCCUAGGCUAUAACCACUUUACAGGAAGCCUUCCAGCCUCUAUCGCCAAUUCAACUGAGAUAUAUUCCCUCGACAUAUCGUUCAACAACUUCAGUGGAAGCAUACCUCCAGAGAUUGGAACACUUUGCCCAGACUUCCUCUCAUUUGAUACAAAUCAGCUCAUAGCAACUACUGCUGAAGACUGGAAAUUCAUGACAUUCUUGACAAACUGCACACGCCUGCGUAUUCUUGACCUCCAGGACAACAUGCUAGGUGGCGUGCUGCCAACCUCUGUUUCCAACCUUUCAGCACAACUCCAACUACUAUAUGUUGGAUUCAACAAGAUCUCAGGAAAUAUACCAUUUGGCAUCAGCAACCUGGUUGGGCUAAAUCAAUUGCAACUCGCUAAUAACCAAUUUACUGGUACCUUGCCUGAUAACAUUGGAAGGCUAAGUUUUCUACAUCUCUUGGGCAUCGAAAAUAACCUAUUGACAGGGUUCAUUCCAUCAUCAGUGGGGAAUUUAACACAGCUCUUACGUCUUUCCAUGGAUAACAACAUGCUUGAGGGACCUCUCCCAACAAGCAUAGGGAACCUGCAGAAGAUAACUCUAGCCUUAUUUGCACGCAAUAAAUUUACAGGACCAUUGCCCAGAGAGAUCUUUAACUUAUCUUCCCUGUCAUAUGCUCUGGUUUUGUCAGGGAACUAUUUUGUUGGUCCUCUUCCUCCUGAAGUUGGCAGCUUGACAAAUCUUGCAUACUUGUACAUAUCCAGCAACAACUUAUCAGGGCCACUACCUAACGAACUUAGUAAUUGCCAAAGCUUGAUAGACCUCCGGUUGGACCAAAACUUAUUCAGUGGUAACAUCCCAGAAACUCUCAGCAAACUGCGGGGCUUGACAUCGCUGACUUUAACCAAAAACACACUCUCAGGAGUGAUUCCUCAAGAGUUGGGCCUCAUGGAUGGCAUGAAAGAAUUGUAUCUUGCACACAACAACUUAUCUGGUCAUAUCCCAGUAAGCAUUGGAAACAUGACAUCAUUGAACCGUCUAGAUCUCUCUUUCAACCAUCUUGAUGGUGAAGUUCCAUCAAAGGGAGUGCUCAGUAACAUGACAGGGUUCGUAUUUAAUGGGAAUUUGGGGCUCUGCGGUGGUAUCCCAGAAUUAGGCUUGCCCCCAUGUCCGCCAGUGUCCAUGGGACACAGCCUAAGGAAAAGUCAUCUUGUCUUCAGAGUAGUUAUCCCAAUUGUUGGCACCAUUCUGUUCUUAAGUUUGAUGCUUGCUAUCUUUGUCUUAAGAAAGAAACCAAAAGCUCAAUCUAAAAAGACAAUAGGAUUUCAAUUGAUAGAUGAUAAGUAUCCUAGAGUUUCUUAUGCUGAGUUGGUCCAAGGAACAAAUGGCUUUGCCACAGACAGCUUGAUGGGAAGAGGAAGAUACGGAUCAGUGUAUAAGUGUGGUUUGCUGCUAAAAAGUAUGAUGACCACGGUUGCUGUGAAAGUGUUUGAUCUUCAACAAUCUGGUUCUUCCAAAAGUUUUCUAGCUGAGUGUGAGGCACUAAGUAAGAUCCGCCAUCGUAAUUUGAUUAAUGUCAUAACUUGCUGUUCAAGCACUGAUAUAAAGCAGAAUGACUUCAAGGCCAUUGUUUUUGAGUUCAUGCCUAAUGGGAGCCUGGAUAGGUGGUUACAUCUAGAUGUGACGGCAUCACAACCACCACAAGGUUUGACACUGAUCCAGAGAUUGAACAUUGCCGUUGAUGUUGCUGAUGCACUAGAUUAUUUGCACAACAACUGCGAUCCACCCAUAGUUCACUGUGACUUGAAGCCAAGUAACAUUCUUCUUGAUGAAGAUUUAGUUGCUCAUGUUGGUGACUUCGGCCUUGCAAAGAUUCUUGCUGAUUCAGAAGGUGAACAACCGAUUAAUUCAAAGAGCUCUAUUGGAAUACGAGGAACGAUUGGAUAUGUCGCUCCAGGUAAUUCAUUUUCUCUAAUAUUUUAAUCUUGUCAACGAAAAUGCAUGCAUAAUCACUAUUUUUGUCUAUGCAACAUAGAGUAUGGGGAAGGCGGGCAAGUUUCUCCCUGUGGAGACGCGUACAGCUUUGGAAUUGUCAUCCUCGAGCUGUUUACAGGCAUGGUACCUACUCAUGACAUGUUCAGAGAUGGGUUAACCUUGCAGAAGCAUGUCAAGAACGUAUUUCCAGGAAUUCUUAUGAAGAUUGUCGAUCCAAUACUACUGUCUAUUGAAGGAGUUUAUACAAGUAAUUUGCCCCCUGGAAGAAAUGCAAUGGAACAUAUGAACCAUGCCAUAUUGUCUAUCAUGAAAAUAGCUCUCUCAUGCAGCAGACAGGCACCAACAGAGAGGAUGAGGAUCAGAGAUGCAGCAGCAGAUUUGCGCAGGGUAAGGGAUAGCCAUGUAAGAGGAAAUGAGGAGCAUCUAGAACUGUGCAGUGAUGUCACUAAUCUAGCCAGUGCUUGACAAAACAUAGAACACACCUACCAAUGGGCUUCGGCAUCUCUUUUCCUACUCUACAAGGUGAAAAGAAAUUUCAUCUCAAUAAUAUUGGUCCGGCACAUGGGGCGAACGCAAAAGUGAAUUUGGAUUUAACAUUGUUGGAUUUUUGAUUUAUUAACAAAUCAGGAAUAUACUGUAUGCAAUUCAAUCUUUAUCGAUGCAAUUUGUGCAAUUCUUUUUGUCUUUUUCACUACCAUGGAGUUAUGCAUUCGACAGACCUUGUGACCAUGCUUCCUGGGACGUGUUGUAAUGUACAGGCAAAAUGGGUGACCACAAUGCUAGAAGGGUGUAGUUGUAUUGAUUAUGGAGAAAUCGAGCACAUAGUACCUACCGGAUAAUGUAUAGGCACUUUUAAUUGAGCACAGGAUGGUUCCUCCCCCCACCACCAAAAAAAAAAAAAACCAAAACUGAAAAUCAAAAAAGAAAGUAAUGAUAUCACUUUGAUUCGUAACACAGAAGAAAUUGCUCCUAUGUGCUUAUGUAUUUUAUUAUGGCUAAUAACAAAACAGUAGGUAAAACGUGCUGUUUCCAGGAGUUACAGGGAUAUCUGUUAAUGAAAAAAUUAUUUGUGGACAAGAUGAAAAAGGAAACAUUUUGAUGGGAAAAAAAUGAAAAUGGUUAUGUUUACGUACCGCAAUGCAGUGCCACUCCACAAGGAGGUUAUCAUGUAAUCAUCUAACUUUCAACACCUAUACUUGAUGUCCUUCCUUGAUACAAUAAUAAUCCAACUCUAUUCCUGUUUGGGGGGAAAAGGUAAUAUAGAUGUGUACUAUAAGCAGAGAGUAAAUUUACUACUCAGAAAAGGGGAAAUCAUCCAUCAUAACUCUAUUAAGACCAGCUUGGCUUACAAUUUUUCCCCUUGCUUCUCAGAAGUUCACAUCCCAACUAAAUCAUCUGUACGUACAAUUGAGACACCAAGCUGCAAAAAAUAAUAAGUAGCGAUCUAAUAAGUACUAAUAAAUAGUGGCUCAACAGAAGAAAUAGUGAAAUUGAAAGCGCUUGCAGUGAACUUUAGUUAUCCUUCCUAGCUAUAUUAUCUUCAUAGAUGGACUCAUUAUGUGUUUUGAUAUAUACUUCCAUCAAAAAGCUACACCGGAAAACCAAUUGUACAGAUCUCAAUGCAGUUGAAGAGGUUAAAAUUAGUAGUCAUCCUCCUCUUACUGCUGUUUUACAAAUUACAAUUAGUGCAAGAAAGUGCAGCACAAGCAUAGAAUCACCUCUCACAAUGUCAAGAUCAUAAAACGAUGAACCAAAUAUUCUCCAAACUCGGCUAUACAUAUAUUCGGAAAUACUUCAACUCCUAUUGCCUUGUUCUGAGUUAGUUGACACUUGACAGGCAUACAAAGUUAAGACACAGAAAAGUAAAACAAACAAAUUUCAUUUCACCAUUAUUCGUUGCAAGAGUGAACAAUAUUGCUUUUGUCUAGUCCUCCCCUCUUCUGCUGCAACAGAAUAUCCACGCAUUCCAGCAGGAAGACGUAGCUGGGCAGCUGGCUGUCUCAUAUUCAACUGGAAGUUUAUAAUUUCAACUUUCCAGAAGGGAUUACCUAAAACCAUACGCCAUUAUUAACCUCUAAUUCGCACAAACUACUUGUAGAAUCUUGGUACGUUAACCUCUAAUUCGCACAAAUUACUUGUAGAAUCUUGGUACGGAACCUGUUUUCUUAUUAAACAGGAGGGAGAAAACGUCUGAAAAAAAGAAAAACUAAUGGGCGCUGCUGCGCAUAGCAUACUCACGGAUCGGAUCAACCGAGAAGACGAGCUGACCACGGCACGACGACGAGGCCAUCCAUGGCACUGGCGGCGGCGGCGGCGGCGGCGGAGCGGCCCGAGGCGGAUGUGGCGGGGGUUCAUGCAGCCCGAGGCGCCGCCGGCUAUUCCUGGAUGCGGGGUCGAGCUGUAGCGGUCGAGCGGUGGCGAUCGGCAGUGGUGGUGGGGGUGGUGAUUCUGGCCGGCCGGCCGGCCGGCGAGCGCGGCGGAGGGCGGUGGUGCCACGGCGGGGGCUCCGGCGGCGGCGACGAGUCGAUGUGGGGUGGCGAGGUCUGCGCGUGGGCCGUCGGAUGAGGAAUGGACGGCGCGCAUUUCGGCCGGUUCACACACAGACCUGAGGGAAACUUGGGCCAUGAUGGGCCGCACAGAAAAAACCGGUUUAUUUGGCUCUGGGGACAUUGGUUUCCGUGAUAAUAAUCUAUAAAUAUUUAUGCUUCUACUCUCUUCAUUUUAUUUUAUAUUAUAAGUCAUUUGAAUUUUUUUUAAAAUUUCUUUAUGUUUGACAAUGCUUAUAAAAAAAUUAGCAACAUCUACAACACCAAAUUUAUUUUAUUAAAUUUAACAUUAAAUAUAUUUUAUAAUGUGUUUGUCUUGUAUUAAAGAUAUAAAUAUAGUUUUCUAUAAAUUUGGUCAAACUUAAAAAAAUUUUAUUCAGAAAAAAAAUAAAUGACUUAUAAUAUGAAAUUGAGAGGGUAGAAAACAAUACCAGAAAAUUAUAAGGGAAUCUCUUUUUUUCCCUACAUAUAAACCCGCGCAUGUAUUUAAGCUUGUUCACCUAAUUAUACUAAUGGAUUAUUUGUUCCAGCCUUAAGAAAAUGUUGUCUAGAAACUUUAUUCCAUUGAUAUUAUGUUUAUUUAUUAAAAAUUAAAUUUAUGAAUAUAGUCAAGUUGAUAGUCGUAAUAAUAAUUUGCUCAAUAAUCUAAAUCUAAGUCCAAAUUAAAGGAGGUUGGGAAGAAUAGAAUAGACACUAUUAAUUGUAUGUAGCCAACCUCCCAUAUAUACAAUCAAUCUCCUAUUUUAUUGUUUGCAAAAAAAAAUCCUCCUAUUUUAUGACUAUAUAUCAUACUAUCUGGUUUUGUGCAAUUAAUACAAAACGCCGAGAAAGAGGCUAAGAAUAAAAUAGUGAUCAGAACAGCUAGACAUAAUCCAAAUUAGAAAAUAUCCGGCCAAGCCAAUAAUCGAACCGUAUUAUACCAGUGCUUGAUCUCCUAAUCACGUCGAAAGUUUUUUUUAACUCGUACAAGUGAUCCCGAAUUCCCGAUUAGCAAUAGAGCACAACGCAAAAAGAGUAUUUUUUUAAUAUAAUUUCCACGGAUGUCAGAAUAAUUCCCAUAAAAUUGCUAAAAGAAAAUAUUUCAUUUCAUAGCAGACGAGGAAUAUAAUAGACAUCACCAAUUUUCAUGUGUCUAGAUGGCCACUCCUAGCAUAUGCGCAACAAAUUUCAUAUGAUAUGACUAUAUCAAACAACUGAUCCGAUUUUGCAUAAUACAGAAAGCUGCAAAGAAAAUAAAAUACUAAGGCUCGUUUGUGAGGUAAUGCUGAGAUUUUUAGCCCACAUAAAAUUAAAAAUAUUAGGUAACUAUUGAAAACUUAUAGAGAAAUUCUAUUUUUUAUGAAAAAUAUGUAAGUAAUAAAAUGUUUUGAGAAAAAACUUAGCUGCUCGAUAAAUAUGCCCAUGAUAGACAAAGUAGCCUAACCGAGAAGGCAACAUAUCCUAUGCACACAGGCCCUCACGUGUACACACGUGCACACCAACUAAAAAAUGUCACCAAAAAAUCUAGAAAAAAUCAUACACAUACUUUCAAUUGUAUUACACCUAGAGUUAAAAUCUUAACGUCAAAUUCAUUAUAUUUUAGCCAUAAAAAAACAAAAAAUCUGACAGUUUUAAGGUUGCAAUUUUGUCAGAAUUUUAUCUUUUUUGUUAUUCUCUAUGUAGAAUGAAUUUGAAGAUGCGACUUUGCACGU
rnacentral:lncRNA from 1 species